rnacentral:misc_RNA from 1 species
AUCUCACUUUACUCUCCACGCUCAACUCAUAUUUUGUUAGCCGUUUGACCAGUUCAUUUUCUCGUUUUUGUAGUUGGUGCUAGCCGAGGACACACACACACACGCAAAAGAAGAUGAAAAUCACGAUCAAUAUUGAACUCGCGCACUCGGAGCUGUACAAGGCGGCACAUCUUCAGCAGACAGUGUCCGAGCUAGACCCGAAUGCCGUGGUGCGAUUCAAGACGGAUACGAGCUUCCUAGCACAGCGCAUCAAGGAUGCGGUGAAGGCGAAGCAGUACGACACAAUAGUGAGCGAACUGGCCCACCGUCUCUCAUAUCCUGCUUCCUUUGCGGAUAGCCUAGAGGUGAUGUGCUCGAUGGCGUUCUUCAGCAAGGGCCGCGUAGACAGCGGCGAGAGCGUUGCUCCAUUUGUAGAGGUGCUUACUCGUCUGCCUGAGGAGGCGAAGGCGCACGCAAGGGAGGCGAUCGUGCAGCGUGCAAUGGCGUUUCUGUCGAAGCCACGGCGCCUGGACUGUAGCCGUGCACCCUUAAUUGGCUAUGCGGAGACCUUGGCCAUGAUGACGCGAAGGGAGCUGCUAAGCGUCCGUAGUGUCGUUGGGACUUUGGUGCAAAUGAUCGAGAACGACACGACUCGGACUGCUGGCAUGACAUGCCUAGGCAAAUUAAUGGAGGUCGCGUACGAGGCUGUCCGGAACUGCGACACUGCGACGCUGAGUGCUUUGCGAGGCGCGGUCCGCCUCGCGCAGAUGAACGAUACAUUCCUGUACGACGUGGAGUACAUUAUGGAGGCAUUUGGAUGGUCGCCGUACAAGCCGGCGCUGAGCCUGCGUCGCUCCAGCUGCCAUCACGAGUUCCCCAUUCUCUCUCUUGCCUACUGUGGUGGUGCGAACCAUCGCGAGGUGGUCGUGAGCUCCUCGUCGGACGGCACGAUAGGGACGUGGGACGGCGUCGGCGUGCUGCUGCAGAACGUCCUCCUUUCGCGCCAUUACGCUUCUUGCCUAGACCUCACAAACCGCGGCCAUACCCUGAUCGUCGGCGCGGUGGGGCGGUACACAAACACCCCGCCGGCCGUGAUCUUUUACAACGAAGAUGGCAAUCGCAAGGCACAGUGGCAGGAGUGCGGCGGCACUGAGCCCGACGACGCUAACUUUAUCUCUAGCCUCAAGUGUCUGAAGGACUCGUCCGGGUCGCGGUACUGCGUCGGCGUGCAAACGUCAAACGCAAACUCCCUCAUGAUCUUCGACGGCCAACACGUGACGCAGCGCUACUUUGAUCACACGGACAUCAUCACAGCCAUUCACGUUCCCAGCGACCGCGAGAACCUGGUCAUCACCGGGUCUCGCGACUGCUCGACGCUGAUCUACGAUCUCCGAGACCCCCGCAACGUCAGCGCGGCAACGCACCACACGAACACUGUUUCCUGCAUCACGAGCUGUGACAACAGCCUGUUCACGGCCGGGCUCGACAAGCGCGUUGUGGUGGAGGACUUCCGAAUGCUGCGUAGCCCAAACGUGCAGCGCGACAUGGAGAGCGCCGUGCUGAGUAUGUCUGUUAGCAAUUCUCUACAGUGCGCCGUGGCGACGCUUACUGGCGUGUACCUGAUCAACUUUUCUAGCAACACCUCCGUACCCACGUCUUCGCGCUCCGAUUGUGGCGGGAGUGCCUCUCGCUACAACGCCGUGUGCUGGAACAAUGCCGGCACCAUCCUCUUCGGCGGCGGCGAGGCACACACGCUGGAUUUGUUUGCCCCUGCGUACGAGCUAAACUCCUUUGAGGUUUAAUGGUGGUAUCGUGCAUCCAUGAGGGGCGGCAGGGACGGCAAAGAGACGCUAAAAGCGAAGCGAAAAAAAAAAUACAGGCGGAAGCCGCUCGAACGCGGUGUAGUCACAUACUGCAGCAGCGUGUGCUGAGUGUAGGCUCUAUGUGUUGCCUCACCUGACCUCCUCCUGUCCUCUUAAGCUUUCCCUAACCCCUCCUCCUGAUAUACUCCUGCAACUGUUAGCCACGUGUCUCCGCUGUCCAUGCCCGACCUCAAUUUCAGCGCCUGCACAGGCGAAGUGCACUUGCGCUUCUCCUCCGCGUUUUCUUUUCUCUACUUUCUUCCGUUUGUUGCAAGUAAUGUUCUAACAUGAAGAGAGGGAGUGCAAGCUCAUGCCCACGACUUCUCUCCCUAAACACCGGCGCUUCAUCGUCUCAGCAAGGAAUCGAAGAGCGUUGAUGCGCAGAGUAGCCGUGUGGGACAGCGGUGUGUGUAGGAGAGAGACGGGAUUGAAGUACUGAGCAAGCGUGUGCUUGGUCGUUUGUGUUCUUUUACCUUUAUGCUUUUUUUUGGUGACUAAAUCCGGCUUUGAGUGCAGUAGCUGCAUGCUGCCAUGCUUUGUUCUUCUGUUCUCCUUUUGGUUUCCACUCCUUCGUGUGUUUCUGUGUCUAUCUUGUUGGAUCCGCGUCUGUGUUACGUUUCUUUUUUUUUUUGCUACCUCUUACUGUACACUGAACCCCUCACGACAGGGGGACCCCUUUGGCGUGGUAUCCAGGAUUCAGCGCCCGCUGCGGGCGAGGAAGCCAAGCAGCCACCCUCUCCCCUGUCAACGCCGAACCACGUCCGGUGCUGACAGGGUUAGGUACCUACGACGUGAGGAGGUCAGAGCAAUGUGUGGCUGCUGAUGCCGGAGGUGGGGCUGUGGAUGGAUCUGCGGCGGAGCGACCUGCGGCAGCGAAGACAUGUACACUAUCCAUAUUAUAGACAGAGCUGCAACGUAGUGCGAACGCAGCCCACGCGGCCCUCGCGCUGCCUCCUGGUACGGGCUGCCUCAGCCACGCCGAGGAGGACGCACGAGGUGGCGGCCGGCAGAGCGGGAGGUGGGUGGGUGUAGUUCGAGGCAGGGGCCGUGCUCGGGUGAGUGAGUCGGCGCAUCUCGUGUACCGCGUGUGUCUACGGCUGCUUGGCACCACGCGAUGGGGCCUGUGGCCGUCUUGCCGGGGGUGGCGGUAGGGUGGUGUCUGAGGCAUGCUGUGUGGCAGAAUGGCCACGUUGAAGGGCAAAAAAGAACUGUAUACUGAUGCAUAUGCAUGCACCCACACCUACAAGGGUUAGUGGUGGGUGGAAGAAGUGUGAGGAUGCCAUCGCCGGGAACGGACGGCAAACUUCAGUGUGGUGUCCGUGCGAUAG